CAGCUCGGCUGGAUCAGUGACAGGUGCUGCAUGGCUGUCGUCAGCUCGUGUCGUGAGAUGUUGGGUUAAGUCCCGCAACGAGCGCAACCCUCAUCCUGUGUUACCAGCGGUUCGGCCGGGGACUCUCAGGAAACUGCCCGUGACAAGCGGGAGGAAGGCGAGGAUGACGUCAAGUCAGCACGGCCCUUAUGAGCUGGGCUACACACGUGCUACAAUGGUGGUGACAGUGGGCAGCGACCCUGCGAGGGGAAGCUAAUCUCCAAAAACCAUCUCAGUUCGGAUUGUACUCUGCAACUCGAGUGCAUGAAGUUGGAAUCGCUAGUAAUCGUAGGUCAGCAUACUACGGUGAAUACGUUCCCGGGUCUUGUACACACCGCCCGUCACACCAUGGGAGUUGGUUUUACCUGAAGCCGGUGGGCUAAUCUGGCAGCCGUCCACGGUAAGAUCAGCGACUGGGGUGAAGUCGUAACAAGGUAGCCGUAGGGGAACCUGCGGCUGGAUUACCUCCUUUUAAGA
rnacentral:rRNA from 1 species